rnacentral:rRNA from 1 species
CCCUUAGACGUUCUGGGCCGCACGCGUGCUACACUGAACGGUUCAAUGGGUAAGGUAGUGCGAAAGCAUGACCUAAUCUCGAAAUCCGUUCGUGCUGGGGAUAGAAGCUUGCAAUUAUCCUUCUUGAACGAGGAAUACCUUGUAAGCGUGAGUCAUCAUCUCACGCUGAAUACGUCCCUGCCCUUUGUACACACCGCCCGUCGCUCCUACCGAUUGAGUGUUCCGGUGAGGCUUUGGGAGAAUGGCCUCAACAUGAGUUUAUCGUGUUUUGCCGUUUGAACUUAGUCAAACCUUAUCACUUAGAGGAAGGAGAAGUCGUAACA